rnacentral:rRNA from 1 species
GAGUGGCGAACUGGUGAGUAACACGUGGGUAACCUGCCCUUGAAGUAGAGGAUAACACUUGGAAACAGGUGCUAAUACUGCAUAACAACGAAAACCGCCUGGUUUUCGUUUGAAAGAUGGCUUCGGCUAUCGCUUUAGGAUGGACCCGCGGCGUAUUAGCUAGUUGGUGAGGUAACGGCUCACCAAGGCAAUGAUACGUAGCCGACCUGAGAGGGUAAUCGGCCACAUUGGGACUGAGACACGGCCCAAACUCCUACGGGAGGCAGCAGUAGGGAAUCUUCCACAAUGGACGAAAGUCUGAUGGAGCAACGCCGCGUGAGUGAUGAAGGGUUUCGGCUCGUAAAACUCUGUUGUUGGAGAAGAACGGGUGUCAGAGUAACUGUUGACAUCGUGACGGUAUCCAACCAGAAAGCCACGGCUAACUACGUGCCAGCAGCCGCGGUAAUACGUAGGUGGCAAGCGUUGUCCGGAUUUAUUGGGCGUAAAGCGAGCGCAGGCGGUUUUUUAGGUCUGAUGUGAAAGCCUUCGGCUUAACCGGAGAAGUGCAUCGGAAACCGGGAGACUUGAGUGCAGAAGAGGACAGUGGAACUCCAUGUGUAGCGGUGAAAUGCGUAGAUAUAUGGAAGA